GAUGAACGCUGGCGGCGUGCCUAAUACAUGCAAGUCGAGCGAACAGACGAGGAGCUUGCUCCUCUGACGUUAGCGGCGGACGGGUGAUUAACACGUGGAUAACCUACCUAUAAAACUGGGAUAACUUCGGGAAACCGGAGCUAUAACCGGAUAAUAUAUUGAACCGCAUGGUUCAAUAGUGAAAGACGGUUUUGCUGUCACUUAUAGAUGGAUCCGCGCCGCAUUAGCUAGUUGGUAAGGUAACGGCUUACCAAGGCAACGAUGCGUAGCCGCCCUGACAGGGUGCCCGGCCCCACUGGAACUGAGACACGGUCCAGACUCCUACGGGAGGCAGCAGUAGGGAAUCUUCAGUAAUGGGCUAAAGCCUGACGGAGCAACGCCGCGUGAGUGAUGAAGGUCUUCGGAUCGUAAAACUCUGUUAUUAGGGAAGAACAAAUGUGUAAGUACCUAUGCACGUCUUGACGGUACCUAAUCAGAAAGCCACGGCUAACUACGUG
rnacentral:rRNA from 1 species